rnacentral:ncRNA from 1 species
AGGGGCAAACCGGCCGAAAGGCCGGGACGCAAAGCUCGGAGGCUAAAGCGGAGGAAACGCCGCCAUGCCAGUCCGGCCGCCA